rnacentral:rRNA from 1 species
GGGUUGUGAGGUUAAGCGACUAAGCGUACACGGUGGAUGCCCUGGCAGUCAGAGGCGAUGAAGGACGUGCUAAUCUGCGAUAAGCGUCGGUAAGGUGAUAUGAACCGUUAUAACCGGCGAUUUCCGAAUGGGGAAACCCAGUGUGUUUCGACACACUAUCAUUAACUGAAUCCAUAGGUUAAUGAGGCGAACCGGGGGAACUGAAACAUCUAAGUACCCCGAGGAAAAGAAAUCAACCGAGAUUCCCCCAGUAGCGGCGAGCGAACGGGGAGCAGCCCAGAGCCUGAAUCAGUGUGUGUGUUAGUGGAAGCGUCUGGAAAGGCGCGCGAUACAGGGUGACAGCCCCGUACACAAAAAUGCACAUGCUGUGAGCUCGAUGAGUAGGGCGGGACACGUGGUAUCCUGUCUGAAUAUGGGGGGACCAUCCUCCAAGGCUAAAUACUCCUGACUGACCGAUAGUGAACCAGUACCGUGAGGGAAAGGCGAAAAGAACCCCGGCGAGGGGAGUGAAAAAGAACCUGAAACCGUGUACGUACAAGCAGUGGGAGCACGCUUAGGCGUGUGACUGCGUACCUUUUGUAUAAUGGGUCAGCGACUUAUAUUCUGUAGCAAGGUUAACCGAAUAGGGGAGCCGAAGGGAAACCGAGUCUUAACUGGGCGUUAAGUUGCAGGGUAUAGACCCGAAACCCGGUGAUCUAGCCAUGGGCAGGUUGAAGGUUGGGUAACACUAACUGGAGGACCGAACCGACUAAUGUUGAAAAAUUAGCGGAUGACUUGUGGCUGGGGGUGAAAGGCCAAUCAAACCGGGAGAUAGCUGGUUCUCCCCGAAAGCUAUUUAGGUAGCGCCUCGUGAAUUCAUCUCCGGGGGUAGAGCACUGUUUCGGCAAGGGGGUCAUCCCGACUUACCAACCCGAUGCAAACUGCGAAUACCGGAGAAUGUUAUCACGGGAGACACACGGCGGGUGCUAACGUCCGUCGUGAAGAGGGAAACAACCCAGACCGCCAGCUAAGGUCCCAAAGUCAUGGUUAAGUGGGAAACGAUGUGGGAAGGCCCAGACAGCCAGGAUGUUGGCUUAGAAGCAGCCAUCAUUUAAAGAAAGCGUAAUAGCUCACUGGUCGAGUCGGCCUGCGCGGAAGAUGUAACGGGGCUAAACCAUGCACCGAAGCUGCGGCAGCGACGCUUAUGCGUUGUUGGGUAGGGGAGCGUUCUGUAAGCCUGUGAAGGUGUGCUGUGAGGUAUGCUGGAGGUAUCAGAAGUGCGAAUGCUGACAUAAGUAACGAUAAAGCGGGUGAAAAGCCCGCUCGCCGGAAGACCAAGGGUUCCUGUCCAACGUUAAUCGGGGCAGGGUGAGUCGACCCCUAAGGCGAGGCCGAAAGGCGUAGUCGAUGGGAAACAGGUUAAUAUUCCUGUACUUGGUGUUACUGCGAAGGGGGGACGGAGAAGGCUAUGUUGGCCGGGCGACGGUUGUCCCGGUUUAAGCGUGUAGGCUGGUUUUCCAGGCAAAUCCGGAAAAUCAAGGCUGAGGCGUGAUGACGAGGCACUACGGUGCUGAAGCAACAAAUGCCCUGCUUCCAGGAAAAGCCUCUAAGCAUCAGGUAACAUCAAAUCGUACCCCAAACCGACACAGGUGGUCAGGUAGAGAAUACCAAGGCGCUUGAGAGAACUCGGGUGAAGGAACUAGGCAAAAUGGUGCCGUAACUUCGGGAGAAGGCACGCUGAUAUGUAGGUGAAGUCCCUCGCGGAUGGAGCUGAAAUCAGUCGAAGAUACCAGCUGGCUGCAACUGUUUAUUAAAAACACAGCACUGUGCAAACACGAAAGUGGACGUAUACGGUGUGACGCCUGCCCGGUGCCGGAAGGUUAAUUGAUGGGGUCAGCGCAAGCGAAGCUCUUGAUCGAAGCCCCGGUAAACGGCGGCCGUAACUAUAACGGUCCUAAGGUAGCGAAAUUCCUUGUCGGGUAAGUUCCGACCUGCACGAAUGGCGUAAUGAUGGCCAGGCUGUCUCCACCCGAGACUCAGUGAAAUUGAACUCGCUGUGAAGAUGCAGUGUACCCGCGGCAAGACGGAAAGACCCCGUGAACCUUUACUAUAGCUUGACACUGAACAUUGAGCCUUGAUGUGUAGGAUAGGUGGGAGGCUU